AUUGAACGCUGGCGGCAGGCUUAACGCAUGCAAGUCGAGCGGGGGAAGGUAGCUUGCUACUGGACCUAGCGGCGGACGGGUGAGUAAUGCUUAGGAAUCUGCCUAUUAGUGGGGGACAACAUCUCGAAAGGGAUGCUAAUACCGCAUAAUAUCUUCUUCCGCAUGGAAGAAGAUUGAAAGACGGCUCUGCUGUCACUUAUAGAUGACCUUGCGGUGCAUUAGUUAGUUGGUGGGGUAACGGCCUACCAAGACGAUGAUGCAUAGCCGACCUGAGAGGGUGAUCGGCCACAUUGGGACUGAGACACGGCCCAGACUCCUACGGGAGGCAGCAGUAGGGAAUCUUCCGCAAUGGGCGAAAGCCUGACGGCGCAAUGCCGCGUGAGUGAAGAAGGCCUUCGGGUCGUAAAACUCUGUUAUAAGAGAAGAACAAAUUGUAGAGUAACUGCUACAGUCUUGACGGUAUCUUAUCAGAAAGCCACGGCUAACUACGUGCCAGCAGCCGCAGUAA
rnacentral:rRNA from 1 species